GAUGAACGCUGGCGGCGUGCCUAAUACAUGCAAGUCGAGCGAACGUACGAUAAGCUUGCUUUUCUGAGGUUAGCGGCGGACGGGUGAGUAACACGUGGAUAACCUACCUAUAAGACUGGGAUAAUUUCGGAAAACCGGAUCUAAUAACGGAGAAUAUUUUGAACCGCAUGGUUCAAAAGAGAAAGACGGUUUUGCUGUCACUUAUAGAUGGAUCCGCGCUGCAUUAGCUAGUUGGUAAGGUAACGCCUUACCAAGGCAACGAUGCAUAGCUGACCUGAAAGGGUGAUCAGCCACACUGGAACUGAGACACGGUCCAGACUCCUACGGGAGGCAGCAGUAGGGAAUAUUCCGCAAUGGGCGAAAGCCUGAUGCAGCAAUACCGCGUGAGUGAUGAAGGUCUUCGGAUCGUAAAGCUCUGUUGUUGGGAAAGAACAUAUGUGUAUUUAUCUGUCCACAUCUUGACGGUACCCAAUCAGAAAGCCACGGCUAACUACGUG
rnacentral:rRNA from 1 species